UCCUACGGGACGCAGCAGUGAGGAAUAUUGGUCAAUGGGCGGGAGCCUGAACCAGCCAAGUCGCGUGAGGGAAGACGGUCCUAUGGAUUGUAAACCUCUUUAGGCGGGGAGCAAUGCCGGGCACGCGUGCCCGGAGGGAGAGUACCCGCAGAAUAAGCAUCGGCUAACUCCGUGCCAGCAGCCGCGGUAAUACGGAGGGAGCGAGCGUUGUCCGGAUUUACUGGGUGUAAAGGGUGCGUAGGCGGCUUGGCAAGUCAGUAGUGAAAUCC
rnacentral:rRNA from 1 species